GCUAGCUUAUUCACCAACAUAAUCAAACAAUAUAAAUAAAAUAAAAUAGACCAAACACCAAAAACUAAACCAUUUUUUUACCUGAGUAUGGGAGACAGAAAAGGUUCAACAAAGCAAUAGAAAUAGUACCGCAAGGGAAAGCUGAAAGAGAAAUGAAAUAACCCAUAUAAGUACUAAAAAGCAAAGACUAAACCUUGUACCUUUUGCAUCAUGAUUUAGCCAGUAAACACAAGCAAAGAGACCUUUAGUUUGAAACCCCGAAACCAGGUGAGCUACCCCGAGACAGCCUAUUAAGGGCCAACCCGUCUCUGUGGCAAAAGAGUGGGAAGAGCUCCGGGUAGAAGUGACAGACCUACCGAACCUGGUGAUAGCUGGUUGCCUAAGAAAUGGAUAGAAGUUCAGCCUCGUGCACCUCAAAUCAAACAAGCACUAACCAAGAUUACAAGAGAAAAACACGAGAGUUAGUUAAAGGGGGUACAGCCCCUUUAACAAAGGAUACAACCUUAUCCAGGAGGAUAAAGAUCAUAAUAUAUAAAACACACUGUUCUAGUGGGCCUAAAAGCAGCCACCUAAACAGAAAGCGUUAAAGCUCAGACAGAAAAAAGUUUAUUAUUCUGAUAAAAAAUCUUACUCCCCUAAUAUUAUUAGGCUAAUCCAUGCCCCCAUGGAAGAAAUUAUGCUAAAAUGAGUAACAAGAAGGCCCGCCCUUCUCCAAGCACAAGUGUAAGCCAAACCGGACUAACCAUUGGCAACUAACGAACUCAACCCAAGAGAGCAAUGUGAAUUAUAAAGAAAACAAGAAAACCCCACAACUCAACAAUCGUUAACCCCACACUGGAGUGCUACUAAAGGAAAGACUAAAAGAAAAGGAAGGAACUCGGCAAACACAAGCCUCGCCUGUUUACCAAAAACAUCGCCUCCUGCAACGUAACCAUGUAUAGGAGGUCCAGCCUGCCCAGUGACUACAAGUUCAACGGCCGCGGUAUUUUGACCGUGCAAAGGUAGCGCAAUCACUUGUCUUUUAAAUAGAGACCUGUAUGAAUGGCUAAACGAGGGCUUAACUGUCUCCCCUUUCAAGUCAGUGAAAUUGAUCUGCCCGUGCAGAAGCG
rnacentral:rRNA from 1 species